CGUGGGUGAGGCCUGGCUCUGUGUAGCCCUGGCAGGGCCCGUGUGGGAUGAGGGCGUGGCCUGGCCCUGUGUAGCCUGUUUGCUCCUCCCCGCCCUUUGGCUUGCUCCUCACAGAGAAGCCCCAUGCGGAGGACACCUCCUCCAGAGAGACACCUGCCCACAGCCCCGACAUCUCCGUGCCCCUCCUGCCUCCUUCAAGCUCCCUUUCUUUCCUCUCCUGCAGAUUUAACUGGGGAUAUUUAUCUGGACAAUACUCCAUUAAGAAAAUUUGCAAUCUAUAGCUUGGAGAUGAAAACUAAACUCAUUUGGUUUAGGGGUGGAAAGGGGUGGAAGAGACCUCAGAAAUCAUCCAGACAAAUCUCCCUCCCGUUUUUAGUAAGAGACCCAGAAAGUUGAAGGAGAUGACCCCACGUUUCACAGUUGCCUGGGGGCGGAGUGGUGCCAUCCCUCGUCCCCGCCUCCUGGCCCAACGCCUCACUCACUGCACCCUGAAGCCACCACUUGUGCUGCAGAGGGGCCCAGGCUCCAGGGAAGAGGCUCACUCCAAAGUCACAGCCGGCAUGUUAGGAAGGCCUGACCCUUGGCUGGGCCCUGACUCUCUCUUAGGACCCUACCCACCGUCUGGAAACUCGUCUUCAGUCGAGUGCAGGGCCUUGCGUUCCUCCUCAGUUUACUGCGAGUUGGUGACCCCCCGAGACACCCUCAUAACACUGGAGGGUUGAGAGACAGUCAGAAUGAAGGCAAAGUUUCCCAUGCACAGAAAGCUCCGUGAGAAAGCAAUUCCAAGAGUAAUGGAAGGAAAAACUCUGGGGAAUUCCGUUUGAACCCUGGCGACUGAGCCCAUAAACAUCUUUCUGGAAUGAGGUUUGAAGCAAGCAGCAGUCUAACCUGGGGUAGCCUGUGACUCUGACAUUAACACCAGAGUGGUGGGUCUCAAUGUGUGGUUCUCAGACAAGCUGCGGCAACCUCACUUGAAGACUUGUUGGAGAUACAAAUUCCCAGGCCCACACUAGACCCUCUGGGGCAGAAGCUCUGGGGUUGAGGCCCGCAAUCUGUGCUCCCAUGCCCUCCAGGCGAUUCCAGCACAGGCUGAGGUUUGCAAACAGUGCUGUGAAAGGGGCAGGGAAGCCCCAUUAUAUGAUGUUUCCAGCAAGGCAGCCUCACGUUGCUUCACUGAAGUCACUCGAAGAAGCCUCUGCUCCUCCUGCUUUUCCAAGAGUCGUGUCAUUUCAAGACUUCCGCGCUGGCUGUAGAGAGUGGAGACAGCCCGGCUCUGAGCCUGACCCCAGUGGCUUACAUGUUUCCUAGACAGCAUGUCUGUGACUACCAAGAUACCCAUAUACUGAUGGUUUAUUUUAUUGAAAAAUACACUAGUAAUAUUGAGACAGGUAUCUUUUAGGCCAUCUGGCUGAUAAUCAAUAUAGAGCUACUGAUGACCAUACUGGCUCACAUUUGCCCUGUACAUCACUGUUCUUGGAUCCCUGAGGACCACAUACACUAUCACCUUAGAGAAAACAACGGCUGUAGUUUUCAACAUGCUUUCUCAUCCAUCAUCUCAGUUCACCCUUCUCGCAAAUCUACAGAAGAGCAAUAGCAGAGUGAUCCGAUGCCCACCCACGGUGACAAAGCUGAGUCUCUGGACUCCAGGCUGGAGCUGUUUUUGUGCACCAAGCCCUUGCCAGAGCAGCUCUGUGGAAAGGGAGGGAGGAGGAAGCCUCGAGACAGACAGGGCUUGACUGGACCCUGAGGUCCGGGAGGCAUGAGGACAGACACACUGGGGAAAGCAGCGAUCCCGCCCCCGUUCUGAAGGAAGAGAAAAACCCCUGGCAAUUUUUACCUUCUAGAAUCUGGUGGACCCUGGAGUCCCGCAUGUACUGCUGAACAGCGUAAUCCUUCAGGUAGCCGUAGCCGCCGUGCAUCUGUAAGGCCUGGUUGCAGAUCUGCAGGGAGACAGGGACUAGACGUCUUGGACUCCGGGAAGACUGUGGAGCAAGCAGCUUCCCUUCCUACCCCAGCCCACGAUCUGGCAGCCCGCUGUAAACUAAUGAAAGAACCACAAACAGCCAAGCUCAAAGAGGCCUCCACAUUCUGUACGGUUAGAGACAAGGAAAGUUCACCUACUAAACUUGUCAGUCCCCACCAGACAGGCAGGCGACUCAAAGCCCUCUGGCCCUCUGGCUUAUUACCUGCCAGGCACAAGCUGCCCACGGCCACCCUGGCUGGGAUAAGCAGUAGUUAGGGUUCCCCCUAGCGGCAAAGCAGCCUCAGUGUAGCUCCGCCCCUGACAAUGUAAACAGGGCAGAGGGCUAAAUUUGGGCUGCUGUGAACCUUCCAAAGGUGGUGUCGCACCUAGAACACAACCAAACAAUAGUGCCGUAAUGAAGUGUGUAAUGGCAUGCAGCAGACCUGAAAGCCAGUGAUGAGAGCUCCCACGCAGGCCGCUCCUGAGUUAAUUUAUAUCCUUCAGCUUAAGGUGAUCCCCGUGGCAUUCCAGAAGGGCUUUGUUCCAAAGCUGACUCACGCCUCUCAAGACCCUGGGCCUAGCGGCUGUUCCCUGUCCACCCAGCGGAGCCAGAGGAAUCACUUACAGCAAAGCAUUCAUCUGUAGCAAAGAGCUUGGCCAUGGAGCACAAGGCCACUGCCUCUUUCCUCUCUUCCUGCAGAGCCACUGCUGCAUUGCGGAUCAUCAGCCGUGCGGCCACCAGCCUUGUUGCCAUAUCAGCCAGUGUGAACUGCAAGUACUGCAGCACAGGGAGAAGAGAACCAGACAAGACUGAGGGGCUUAGACCAGCACCUGGUGCAGAAGCCUGGCUGAGACAUCUCUGAGGCACCUUUUUCUAAGUGAUCCAAAGCUUCACAGUCUCUUGCUUUUUCUAGAGGAAAUUUAUUGCUUUAUAAGUGCUAAGUCCACUUCACUCACCCAACACUCUAGUAUCAGUAAAGAUAUCCUGAGAAAAGAUGGACAGAAAUAAAGCACAAGCUCUGGCUAGGACAGUGGUGGGACUGGAAGAGGAAUUUCCUGGCUUCUCUCCUAGAAAAUGUGGGCCCUAGAGCAGGUCCUGGGCUGCAAAUAGCGGAAAGCCAUGUGGAGGCAAGGGAGAGGUUACCUGGUUACUGGCCAGAGGCUCUCCAAACUGCUUCCGGACCUUGAGGUGGUCUCGGGUGAGGAUGACAGAGGCGUGGGCAGCCCCCAGAGAGCAGGAAGCUAGAGGGGUAGAGCGCCGACGUUCCAACUGAGCUGGAAAACAGCACUGCUGGACCCGGACUGCCACCUCCCUACCGCACCCCUUCGUGUCUCACCAAUAUUGAUCCUCCCUCCGUUCAGUCCUUUCACGGCAAUGAGGAAGCCCUGCCCCUCGUCCCCAAUUCUGUUGGCCAAAGGGACGGCACAGUCUUCGAAGAUCACAGCUCGUGUUGGCUGGGAGUUCCAC